CGUUUUGUUUGCUUUGGCUUUCUUCAUAGGGGUUUGUUAUGGUGUUACAUUAAAAGACAAUAGAUAUGAAGGGAUAUACGUCGCUGUUCAUGAUCUUGUGACCGAAGAUCAAAGCUUAAUCGACAGAAUAAAGGAUAUCUUUACUGCCGCAUCACGAUUGCUGUUUAGGGCUACGGAACAGCGCGUGUAUUUUGGUGAAAUCAACAUCGUCGUUCCAAGAUCCUGGACACCACAGAGAGACGCCCAGCCAGUCCAACAAUCCGAGCGCGGAUACUUCAAGAUAGAAGACGGACAACUGAUAACCCCGAGGACAUUUGGCAAUGACAUUUGUGG